rnacentral:rRNA from 1 species
GACGAACGCUGGCGGCGUGCUUAACACAUGCAAGUCGAACGGAAAGGCCCUGCUUUUGUGGGGUGCUCGAGUGGCGAACGGGUGAGUAACACGUGAGUCACCUGCCCUUGACUUUGGGAUAACUUCAGGAAACUGGGGCUAAUACCGGAUAGGAGCUCCUGCUGCAUGGUGGGGGUUGGAAAGCUUCGGCGGUUGGGGAUGGACGCGCGGCUUAUCAGCUUGUUGGUGGGGUAGUGGCUUACCAAGGCUUUGACGGGUGGCCGGCCUGAGAGGGUGACCGGCCACAUUGGGACUGCGAUACGGCCCAGACUCCUACGGGAGGCAGCAGUGGGGAAUAUUACACAAUGGGCGGAAGCCUGAUGCAGCAACGCCGCGUGCGGGAUGACGGCCUUCGGGUUGUAAACCGCUUUCGCCUGUGACGAAGCGUGAGUGACGGUAAUGGGUAAAGAAGCACCGGCUAACUACGUG